rnacentral:rRNA from 1 species
GACGAACGCUGGCGGCGUGCUUAACACAUGCAAGUCGAACGAUGAAGCCUAGCUUGCUAGGUGGAUUAGUGGCGAACGGGUGAGUAAUACGUGAGUAACCUACCUUUAACUCUGGGAUAAGCCUGGGAAACUGGGUCUAAUACCGGAUACGACCAAUCUCCGCAUGGGGUGUUGGUGGAAAGCGUUAUGUAGUGGUUAUAGAUGGGCUCACGGCCUAUCAGCUUGUUGGUGAGGUAACGGCUCACCAAGGCGACGACGGGUAGCCGGCCUGAGAGGGUGACCGGCCACACUGGGACUGAGACACGGCCCAGACUCCUACGGGAGGCAGCAGUGGGGAAUAUUGCACAAUGGGCGCAAGCCUGAUGCAGCGACGCCGCGUGAGGGAUGACGGCCUUCGGGUUGUAAACCUCUGUUAGCAGGGAAGAAGAGAAAUUGACGGUACCUGCAGAGAAAGCGCCGGCUAACUACGUGCCAGCAGCCGCGGUAAUACGUAGGGCGCGAGCGUUGUCCGGAAUUAUUGGGCGUAAAGAGCUUGUAGGCGGUUUGUCGCGUCUGCUGUGAAGGCCGGGGCUUAACCCCGUGUAUUGCAGUGGGUACGGGCAGACUAGAGUGCAGUAGGGGAGACUGGAAUUCCUGGUGUAGCGGUGGAAUGCGCAGAUAUCAGGAGGAACACCGAUGGCGAAGGCAGGUCUCUGGGCUGUAACUGACGCUGAGAAGCGAAAGCAUGGGGAGCGAACAGGAUUAGAUACCCUGGUAGUCCAUGCCGUAAACGUUGGGCACUAGGUGUGGGGGACAUUCCACGUUUUCCGCGCCGUAGCUAACGCAUUAAGUGCCCCGCCUGGGGAGUACGGCCGCAAGGCUAAAACUCAAAGAAAUUGACGGGGGCCCGCACAAGCGGCGGAGCAUGCGGAUUAAUUCGAUGCAACGCGAAGAACCUUACCAAGGCUUGACAUAUACUGGACCGCAUCAGAGAUGGUGUUUCCCUUCGGGGCCGGUAUACAGGUGGUGCAUGGUUGUCGUCAGCUCGUGUCGUGAGAUGUUGGGUUAAGUCCCGCAACGAGCGCAACCCUCGUUCUAUGUUGCCAGCACGUUAUGGUGGGGACUCAUAGGAGACUGCCGGGGUCAACUCGGAGGAAGGUGGGGAUGACGUCAAAUCAUCAUGCCCCUUAUGUCUUGGGCUUCACGCAUGCUACAAUGGCCGGUACAGAGGGUUGCGAUACUGUGAGGUGGAGCUAAUCCCUAAAAGCCGGUCUCAGUUCGGAUUGGGGUCUGCAACUCGACCCCAUGAAGUCGGAGUCGCUAGUAAUCGCAGAUCAGCAACGCUGCGGUGAAUACGUUCCCGGGCCU